rnacentral:misc_RNA from 1 species
GAUGAAGAACGUAGCGAAAUGCGAUAAGUAAUGUGAAUUGCAGAAUUCAGUGAAUCAUCGAAUCUUUGAACGCACAUUGCGCCCCCUGGUAUUCCGGGGGGCAUGCCUGUCCGAGCGUCAUUACAACCCUCAAGCUCAGCUUGGUGUUGGGCCCCGCCGCCCCGGCGGGCCCUAAAGUCAGUGGCGGUGCCGUCCGGCUCCGAGCGUAGUUAUUCUUCUCGCUCUGGAGGUCCGGUCGUGUGCUCGCCAGCAACCCCCAAUUUUUUUCAGGUUGACCUCGGAUCAGGUAGGGAUACCCGCUGAACUUAAGCAUAUCAAUAAGCGGAGGA